ACGGAAGGCAGCAGUGGGGACUAUUGGGCAAUGGGCGACAGCCUGACCCAGCAACGCCGCGUGAAGGAAGAAGGCCUUCGGGUUGUAAACUUCUUUUACCAGGGACGAAGGACGUGACGGUACCUGGAGAACAAGCCACGGCUAACUACGUGCCAGCAGCCGCGGUAAUACGUAGGUUGCACGCGUUGUCCGGAUUUACUGGGUGUAAAGGGCGUGUAGGUGGAGAGGCAAGUCAGAUGUGAAAUCCCGGGGCUCAACCCCGGAACUGCAUUUGAAACUGUCUCCCUUGAGUAGCGGAGAGGCAAGCGGAAUUCCUAGUGUAGCGGUGAAAUGCGUAGAUAUUAGGAGGAACACCAGUGGCGAAGGCGGCUUGCUGGACGACAACUGACGCUGAGGCGCGAAAGCGUGGGGAGCAAACAGGAUUAGAUACCCUGGUA
rnacentral:rRNA from 1 species